rnacentral:rRNA from 1 species
GCGGCAGGCCUAACACAUGCAAGUCGAGCGCGCCUUCGGGUGAGCGGCGGACGGGUUAGUAACGCGUGGGAACGUACCCUUUUCUACGGAAUAGCCUUUGGAAACGAAGAGUAAUACCGUAUACGCCCUUUGGGGGAAAGAUUUAUCGGAGAAGGAUCGGCCCGCGUUAGAUUAGAUAGUUGGUGGGGUAACGGCCUACCAAGUCUACGAUCUAUAGCUGGUUUUAGAGGAUGAUCAGCAACACUGGGACUGAGACACGGCCCAGACUCCUACGGGAGGCAGCAGUGGGGAAUCUUAGACAAUGGGCGCAAGCCUGAUCUAGCCAUGCCGCGUGAGUGAUGAAGGCCUUAGGGUCGUAAAGCUCUUUCGCCUGUGAUGAUAAUGACAGUAGCAGGUAAAGAAACCCCGGCUAACUCCGUGCCAGCAGCCGCGGUAAUACGGAGGGGGUUAGCGUUGUUCGGAAUUACUGGGCGUAAAGCGCACGUAGGCGGAUUGGAAAGUUGGGGGUGAAAUCCCGGGGCUCAACCCCGGAACUGCCUCCAAAACUAUCAGUCUAGAGUUCGAGAGAGGUGAGUGGAAUUCCAAGUGUAGAGGUGAAAUUCGUAGAUAUUUGGAGGAACACCAGUGGCGAAGGCGGCUCACUGGCUCGAUACUGA